UAUAUUAAGUCAUGCUAUUUCCAUACCAACCUAUGUAGUAUUUUCCCACAUUAUUAAGAAAUUGAUGUCCUCAGAGUACACCAUGUUGUUCUUAGAAUGAUUUGAUUCAGGUAAACCACAUCUAAUUACAAGGUUGUUUCUGUUCUUGAUGUAGU